rnacentral:rRNA from 1 species
GUCUUUAUGAAGUUAUAUCAAGUCUGGCCUGCCCMUUGAAUUUUUUUUAACGGCCGCGAUUUUAUCGUGCAAAGGUAGCAUAAUCAUUAGUAUUUUAAUUGAAGGCUAGAAUGAAAGGUUGGACAAAAAAUAAGCUGUCUUUUUUUUAAUUUUGAAUUUGACUUUUAAGUGAAAAGGCUUAAAUAAUUUUAAGGGACGAUAAGACCCUAUAAAUCUUUAUAUAAUUUUUUUUGAGAGUUUAAUUUAUUUGGUGAAUAAAACUCAUAAAAACUAUAUUGUGUUGGGGUAACAUAAAUAUAUUUACUAAUUGUUUAAAAUUUGAAUCAAAAAUUAUUGAAAAUUAAUAGAUCCUUUUUUAAGAUUAAAAAUCAAGUUACUUUAGGGAU